rnacentral:lncRNA from 1 species
ACUUGGGUGAGGUUUGAAAUUUGUGUCAAAUUUUCGGACUUCUCGACAUUUUUCCAUACAAAACGAGGUAAAAUAUUCUGCUCCAUAACACCAAUUUAGUUUUUCAUAUAAGAUUAAAUAGCUCAUGAAAGGUCAUUUACCAAAAUUUUAAACGAUUCCUAAUUUUCUUUCUUUUGUUUUAGAACUCAAAUAAUACCAAUGCAAACAUAAGGUUAAAGUCCAAGUCAGCCUUUUCCCGCCAUAUUUUCAACCUUAAAUAUCUCGAAAAGGAGGGCUAUGACCUAUCAAUAUUUUUAGCUUAUUUGUUUUAUCCUUAAAGAAUUCUCUACCUGCUUAUUGUAUCAAUUUUAAAUUCGUGAUUUAUAAAUGUUCACCUAACCUCACCUAAGUACAUCCUCAAUCAAAACAUAUAUUAC